UGGGUUGUGCGAGGAAUCCCAGCGGUGGUUCAUGUGUGAACAAAUUGCCCACCACGGGAUCUCCCACGUCGAUUAUCUUCUUUUUUCCCUUUUUCUUUUUCUUGUUCCUCAAUUCAGCAACCCAUUUUCUUUCUCUCGUAUUUUCCUUUCCCUCUUAAUCACCUCCUCUGAGCCCCGUUAUCUUUUGUUUCCCUUUUUGUGAUUUUUGUUUCCCUGCACAAUCUCCUUCCUUGCCUUCCUCUUUCUUCAUUGCCUGCUUCCUUCCUUCCAUUUUUUCUUUCUUUUCUGAGUCAAUCUCAACACGUCUACUUCUGGCGUCUGGCGUCUCGACGAUAGGGCUAUCUCAUUGUCAAAACUUGGAUUGCUGUCGUCAGGUGUAGCUCCAACUCGUGGUGUUCACUGGAGUCUCCAAUCCAUCCACCAAAUUACGAUGCCGGCGUGACGUUUGUUAAUUUUUAAUUGCGACCACGGUGAGGUAACCUACAUGAUUCAACCCUCCUUGUUUCCCGGAACAGUCAAUUUUAGAAACAUCAAUAGCAAUUUUAAUCCUCUCUGGUUGUCCAUUCCAGUUCGAAGCUACCUUCUCAUUGCGUGAGGAAAACUUCACAAAUUGACAGAGGAAAUUUCCUCUAUUAGGGCUUGGAAACUAAACGAGUAUUCAUGCUUUAGAUGGUUGUGGACCGGGUGGAUUCACGUAUUCUUCCCACCAACGCUUAGGGCUCAACCUUUGUCUCUGUGCUUUGAGGACGGAGAAGUCGAUCACCCUUCCCGCAGGCACAAUCCCGUGAAUCAAACCUUUUCGUCCUUCGGCUUUUGAUGUAUUAAAUCAACAAACUAGAUUAGGUUGUGCCCACUUCUACAUCGCAAGUCAUGCACGUCAAUCCAUCCUCAUUUGUCACUCCAGAUAUCUGAGGACACGUGCGUCUACGUCCCGUUUCCGCCAGUAAUCGGUGACGGGGUCAAAUAGCGAUGCUGCAGAGCACGGCACAUGUCUCGAUUGUGAUUAACGAUUGACACACAGACGAUCCGACCCCAAUCGGCACAAAAACGGCACAGUAAUCGUGGAUCAUUCCGCAGCCGAAGCAGGGAUCAGACAGACGCCACAGCCGUGACGACAAGACAAAUCGACGAGCACGGACGACCGCGCCGAAGCCGGCAAUCAGCGGACAUGGUUUGCACACAGAAUUUGGACAUCCGUCGACGACGACUCCAUUGAUUCGCUUUCUCUCGCAGUGGCGUACGAGGUUGCAGAUAGGGAGGGAUAAUGCCGCACAUGCAUUCGCGUAGAUUGGAAUCUUCGAUUUUGUCUGCGUCUCCUGCAAAUUGGAUCGCUGAUCAGGCCUUGAAGCCUCGGGGGCCGGUGCCUCGUUUCCACACCGUGGGAUCCUACGCCCAAGUUGCAAUGGAGAUCGGCAGACACGGAGUUCGGAUUGCACGCUGCACUCUCAUUGCGAUAGAGAGACUCAAAUGCUCCGGGGAAUGUGGUAGACAUCGUUUCGUGACUAGUAAGUCAAAGGUGUCUUGGAAAGGGGUUCAGUGGAGUCAGUUCCCUUACACAUGAAAAAAAAAGGUAAAGUUAACCCCAACAGCUGGUCCUUAACUGAAAGCUUGGUUUGGUUGAGGAAAAAAAAACCUGUAUAUAUACACGUACAUGCUAAUAUAAUCAUUAUUGUAUUGAAAUUAUAUUAAUUUCAACAUCAUAAAUAGAUAUUUAAAUUUAA